rnacentral:rRNA from 1 species
GACGAACGCUGGCGGCGUGCUUAACACAUGCAAGUCGAGCGGUAAGGCUCCUUCGGGAGUACACGAGCGGCGAACGGGUGAGUAACACGUGAGCAAUCUGCCCUUCUCAUCGGAAUAAGCGUGGGAAACCGCGUCUAAUGCCGAAUACGACCUCCUUUCGCAUGAUCGGAGGUGGAAAGCUCCGGCGGAGAAGGAUGAGCUCGCGGCCUAUCAGCUAGUUGGUGAGGUAACGGCCCACCAAGGCGACGACGGGUAGCCGGCCUGAGAGGGUGACCGGCCACACUGGGACUGAGACACUGGCUAGACACCUACGGGUGGCUGCAGUCGAGGAUCUUCGGCAAUGGGCGCAAGCCUGACCGAGCGACGCCGCGUGGACGACGAAGGCCUUCGGGUUGUAAAGUCCGAAAGUACCGAGGAAAGCCGAAAGGUCUGACCGAGGUACAGUAAGCACGGGCUAAGUUCGUGCCAGCAGCCGCCGCGGUAA